GGAAAUGCGGAUAAUGCUUGGAGCUGUCAAUGCAGGGACCAUUCACCAGUGCCUGGAAACCUUGCUGAAAGACUUUGGGAAGUGUGGCAGGUGACGGUGGAGAACCUGCAGAAAGGCCUAUGUGAAAGUGCCCAUUAGAAUAAUCUGACAGCUGUGCUGGAGAUCCACUAGGGCCAAAGAAGACCAUCUACUGCACUCCUGAGGUUUUUUUCAGAAGCUGGAUCUUUUAUUUCCAAAAAGUUACAAGCACACAGAGUGGGGUAUCUUUGCCCAGCAGCUCAGGCCAAUCCAGCUUGACAAUGACAGUGGAAAUCUGUUUUGGUUUUGAGCCCGGCUUUGAUUUGGGGCACUGGAAACCAUGAAAGUGCCAAAAAAACAUUGGUGUUGCUGUUGACUGCCUCGGAUGACAGCAAAUCUCAUACAUCCUGACCAGGGAAGUGCCUCCCUUCCAUCAGCUGCAGGCUUAAACAAAGAAAGAGGGUCUAGCAUUUCCAUUUGAGCCCUACUUAAAGCUGCAGAUCUAUCAGCACAGGCGCUCGGUGUGGU